GACAGUUUGGCCGAGUGGU
rnacentral:siRNA from 1 species